rnacentral:rRNA from 1 species
UCGCCAGUAGGAUAAAUUAUUGGUAGUGCCUGCUCAGUGCCCACGUGGUAAACAGCCGCUGUAUUUUGACGGUGCUAAGGUAGCGAAAUUCCUAGCCUUUUAAUUGGAGGCCUGCAUGAAUGGUUUGACGAGCGCUUAACUGUCUCUUUUUCAUGGUAGUGAAUUUAGCUUUUGUGUGCAAAGACACAGAUAACUAAGUAAGACGAAAAGACCCUGUGCAACUUUACUAAAAAGUGGGUUAUCUUCAUAGAUAGUUUAGCUGGGGCAGCUUGGGAAAAAACAAAAUUUCCCUAGAUUUAAAGGACUGUUAGGUUUAGAUCCGGGUUUAAUAGGCCGAUCAAUAGAAAAGUUACGCCAGGGAUAACAGCGUUAUCCUUCUGUGGAGGCCUUAUCUGCAGGGGGGAUUGCGACCUCGAUGUUGAAUUAGGGAUAUAGCGAAAAGGCGCAGCAGCUUUUUUUGUGGGUCUGUUCGAUCUUUAAAACCCUACGUGAUCUGAGUUCAGACC